rnacentral:lncRNA from 1 species
AGCGCCUUGCCUGCUGGUCAGAGAAACAAGAACAGCCACUAUGGAUCACUGUCUCACACAGAACAAUGAUGGGAGUAGGCGGAAGGAAUGCAGAACUGCAAUAGAGACCGCUGUGCCAGGUGCCGUGAGACAAGCUGCAAUCAACCGCAAGUUAUGAGAACCGUGCCUUGUUGUACUUAGCAUGCUGUUUGUACCUCUAUAUGCAUGGCUGUUUGCAGUUAUUAAAUGGCUUGGCUACUA